UGCAUAAUUAUGUAUUGUGAAAUACAUUGUUCUCUGUGUAUAUAUUUUUGAUGAAUUGAUGAUCACGUUUUCUACAACAUAGUUAGAUGUCAGGUUUGCAUAUCAGUAGACAUAGUGUUUUGUUCCUGAUAUGAGUUGUGAUUUUUAUAGAAUUAGAAGGACUUUUGAUCCAACCAUGUAGUAUGGCACGUUAUUGAGAUAUGGUUUUGGUUGAUGGAUGUUCAUGAAGGACCUGUAGUACAAAGUAUAUCACUGGAUUUAGCUCUUUGUCAAAGUGUAUUUUUAAAGUACUUUGCUUUGUGCUCAGUUCAUUGUUAUGCAAUUCAUUCUUUGUGAAAUAAAGAUUUGACAGACAACUCUAAUGCUCAAGGAAUUGUCAAAGCAGUACCACUGUAUGU